rnacentral:tRNA from 1 species
GCAGUAGUUCAGUUGGUAGAGCAGCGGUCUCCAAAACCGCCUGUCGUGGGUUCAAGUCCUGCCUGCC